GUGUCGGUAGUGCAAUGGUUCAGCACGCGCUCCUGGAACGAGUGAGAUCUGGAUUCGAAUCCUAACUGGUUAAACG